UACAGAGGUCUCAAGCGUUGUUCGGAUUCAUUGGGCGUAAAGGGUGUGUAGGUGGCGCGCUAAGUCGGGUGUGAAAUUUCGGAGCUUAACUCCGAAACUGCAUUCGAUACUGGCGUGCUUGAGGACUGGAGAGGAGACUGGAAUUUACGGUGUAGCAGUGAAAUGCGUAGAUAUCGUAAGGAAGACCAGUGGCGAAGGCGGGUCUCUGGACAGUUCCUGGACACUGAGACACGAAGGCCAGGGGAGCAAACGGG
rnacentral:rRNA from 1 species